GCUGACACACAGGAAACCCUGCUGACCGCGCAGAGCCUUUUGCUUCUAACCCUAGAGCCGACUGGUCGGAGACAAAAGUCUCUGGAGUCCUCAAGUACCACGCCAGAAAAUCCAACAAUUGCUGAGGAUGGACAGAUUAUUGAAAAAAUUCUAAUUGAGGGCCUCAGCAUAAAGAAAACAACUUCUGAUAAACAUAAAAUAUAAACUCACCCAACUUUAAAAGUAUGAGACGAUGGUACCCUGAUUUAGGAGACAAGGAAAUCCUUUGAGAGGGCCCCCUGAGUAUAACACCUAAGACUCUUCUGAGAUAACCUUGGUAGAGUGAGAAGACUCACCGAUUUCCCAAAAAGAAAAUAGGAAAAGGAACUAGGAGAAGAAAGAAGUUUAAGGAAUUCACAGCGGCUGUCCUCAGUGAAGUAGGAGGAGAGAGGGCUGAGGCGGCCUGGAAGUGGGAAAGGAGCACACUGAGGAAGAACGGAGGACUGUCCUGUUCUGCAGAGGACCCAGCUGCUCCUAGAAGUCACACACUUGUCAUGGAUCUGAUCAGUAGGCUUCCUAAAAUAUAUUUCAUUAAGAAUCACAGCAGGGAUGUAGGGCACGGAUUAAGAGACAGCUGGGUUGCUCCAAGGUUGGAAUGAGGGGAUGAGAGUAAGAGACCCUGGAGGCCCAAGAAAAGAGAGAGAGUAGAGGGGAAAAAGGAUAGGGAAAUGAAGAAGAGCGAGAGGGAGAGGGAGGAAGAAGAGUGACAUGCAGAAGGGGCACCACUAGGUGUCAGGGAAGAAGAGAAAGCAAGGUAGCUGGAACAAAGUAGAGACUUUUGGAAACCUCACUGAGCAUUGCUUUUCAAUUAUUUAGGUUUAAAUCAGGGUGGAUGUGGGUGAGGGGUCUGGGUGGUGGAGAGAUGACAUAGGCUAUAUGGUCCCAUGGUCAGAGUAAUGUCCCUACUGAGUACCUGCCCCUGGGCAGAUGACAUUGAUCUAAGUUCUCCAUCUGAGCCCUAUCAUUUGUAAGAAUCUGUAAAAUCCCAGGCCACCUACAUCUUCUUCCAUCCUUCAGAAAAUUUAUUGCUCCCAGAAGUUAAAAAUAUUCAAGGGAACUGCUUUCUGGUGUUCCGUCCUUAAAUAUUUACCUGCCUUUUCCCUAUCCAUAUGAAGACCAAGGCCCUAGUCUUGGGCACUUUAUAACAUUUUAAAAAGAACUUUCCUUAAAUCCAGAAUAAAUAU